rnacentral:rRNA from 1 species
UUAAAUUGAAGAGUUUGAUCAUGGCUCAGAUUGAACGCUGGCGGCAGGCCUAACACAUGCAAGUCGAACGGUAACAGGAAGCAGCUUGCUGCUUUGCUGACGAGUGGCGGACGGGUGAGUAAUGUCUGGGAAACUGCCUGAUGGAGGGGGAUAACUACUGGAAACGGUGGCUAAUACCGCAUAACGUCGCAAGACCAAAGAGGGGGACCUUCGGGCCUCUUGCCAUCAGAUGUGCCCAGAUGGGAUUAGCUUGUUGGUGAGGUAACGGCUCACCAAGGCGACGAUCCCUAGCUGGUCUGAGAGGAUGACCAGCCACACUGGAACUGAGACACGGUCCAGACUCCUACGGGAGGCAGCAGUGGGGAAUAUUGCACAAUGGGCGCAAGCCUGAUGCAGCCAUGCCGCGUGUAUGAAGAAGGCCUUCGGGUUGUAAAGUACUUUCAGCGGGGAGGAAGGUGUUGUGGUUAAUAACCACAGCAAUUGACGUUACCCGCAGAAGAAGCACCGGCUAACUCCGUGCCAGCAGCCGCGGUAAUACGGAGGGUGCAAGCGUUAAUCGGAAUUACUGGGCGUAAAGCGCACGCAGGCGGUCUGUCAAGUCGGAUGUGAAAUCCCCGGGCUCAACCUGGGAACUGCAUUCGAAACUGGCAGGCUUGAGUCUUGUAGAGGGGGGUAGAAUUCCAGGUGUAGCGGUGAAAUGCGUAGAGAUCUGGAGGAAUACCGGUGGCGAAGGCGGCCCCCUGGACAAAGACUGACGCUCAGGUGCGAAAGCGUGGGGAGCAAACAGGAUUAGAUACCCUGGUAGUCCACGCCGUAAACGAUGUCUACUUGGAGGUUGUGCCCUUGAGGCGUGGCUUCCGGAGCUAACGCGUUAAGUAGACCGCCUGGGGAGUACGGCCGCAAGGUUAAAACUCAAAUGAAUUGACGGGGGCCCGCACAAGCGGUGGAGCAUGUGGUUUAAUUCGAUGCAACGCGAAGAACCUUACCUGGUCUUGACAUCCACAGAACUUUCCAGAGAUGGAUUGGUGCCUUCGGGAACCGUGAGACAGGUGCUGCAUGGCUGUCGUCAGCUCGUGUUGUGAAAUGUUGGGUUAAGUCCCGCAACGAGCGCAACCCUUAUCCUUUGUUGCCAGCGGUUAGGCCGGGAACUCAAAGGAGACUGCCAGUGAUAAACUGGAGGAAGGUGGGGAUGACGUCAAGUCAUCAUGGCCCUUACGACCAGGGCUACACACGUGCUACAAUGGCGCAUACAAAGAGAAGCGACCUCGCGAGAGCAAGCGGACCUCAUAAAGUGCGUCGUAGUCCGGAUUGGAGUCUGCAACUCGACUCCAUGAAGUCGGAAUCGCUAGUAAUCGUGGAUCAGAAUGCCACGGUGAAUACGUUCCCGGGCCUUGUACACACCGCCCGUCACACCAUGGGAGUGGGUUGCAAAAGAAGUAGGUAGCUUAACCUUCGGGAGGGCGCUUACCACUUUGUGAUUCAUGACUGGGGUGAAGUCGUAACAAGGUAACCGUAGGGGAACCUGCGGUUGGAUCACCUCCUUACCUUAAAGAAGC